AGUGGCCAGGCGGCAGUGUGGGGAAGGCGCUUGACGGCCUCGUCUUAGCGACAAACGGUUUGAAGAGGCGGCACCGCAGUUAUCCCAACUGUCUUUUUUCAACGAACACGACGUCUCCGUGUCAAGUCAUACUGUGCCAAGACAACCCGCGAGCAGGAGACCGGAGGACACCAUCACCAGAUCGUCGCCCGUUUCUGUUCGGCGCCACUUCCCUACUGCACUCUCUUUUCUGCAUCUGUGUUGGCGGCCAAGCAUGAAGAUGAUCGCCUUUACCAUUACACUUCUAAUAAUUUCAGAUUAUCUGGGGCCUUGCUGCGUCGCAGGUGCCACUGUCUGUUCACGCGCUUUCAUGGUCAUCCGUAAAAGUUUCGGCUGCCCAUUUGGGUCCAAUGAAUGUUCAAAGUACUGCAAAGAGAAGAAGGCCCAGAAAGGUGGAUACUGCACCGGAAGAUUCAAAGAAAACUGCGUGUGCUUCAGAAAUUAAAUUUCACAUUAAGCGUCCUUGAA